rnacentral:rRNA from 1 species
GUCCACGCCCUAAACGAUGCGAACUGGACGUUGGGAGCAAUUAGGCUCUCAGUGUCGAAGCUAACGCGUUAAGUUCGCCGCCUGGGGAGUACGGUCGCAAGACUGAAACUCAAAGGAAUUGACUGGGGCCCCGCACAAGCGGUGGAGUAUGUGGUUUAAUUCGAUGCAACGCGCAGAACCUUACCUGGCCUUGACAUCCACGGAAUCCUUGAGAGAUCAGGGAGUGCCUUCGGGAACCGUGAGACAGGUGCUGCAUGGCUGUCGU